UGUGUCUGGCUGUACUUGUUGCAGCUUGCUUAGCCCUAAGGAUCGUGAAAUUCUUAAAAGAAUUGCAAGUACACAGUUAUUGCAAGAUCUACUUUAUUAGUUGGAUCAUAAGGCUGCUUUAAGGCUUUGGAUAUGGAUAUCUUGUUAGGGAAUGAGAGGAUCCUAGAACAAAGGGAACUUUACAAAAAACUCAGUGGUUUAAGAAGUUCUUUCCAAUUACGUCUUGCAAAGUUGAUGUCAUAGAGCAAGUAGUCUUUCUGGAAGAGUGAAUAGUAGAAUAAAAAGCACAGCUAGGAUUGUAGGCCCCAUCAGCAAGCUAUGAUUAGGCUGUGGUUGUGGGUUGCAUUCAUUUUGUGUUGAAUUAACUUGGCUAUAUCUGACAGGCUAUAUAGCCUGGGUCAGACAUUAAAUGACCAAAUAGUAAAAACUUCUGCUAACAGACUAUGAAGAUUUGGACUUGGUUACUGGGUAUAAUAAAUAAGCCCAAGUUAAGUUUUUCUUAGUUUAAAUUGUUAUCUGAAACAAAACCGUGUUUAGUAAUUAAUCUGCAAUGGAUUACUACAUUCACUUGGUUACACAAUGAAGAAUGAGAAACACUUCAUCAGAAAUUCUGUCUUGUAAAGGUGCUCUUGUAGGACAUAACAAAUAUUUGCUGUGUUGCUUUAGCUUAUGGAGUCAGUACAAGUUAAAAUUAAAUAUUAUGCGAAACUUAAAAUCAGCUGUGCUUAAGGGACUAAAGACUUGAGCUAAUGGAUUCUCAUGAAGAAUUCCGAGUGUUAGUAGGUACAUGUGGUUACUUCUACCACGUGUUUAAAUAGUGGAUUUCAGGUAGAUGUAACUUGUCACUCCUUUGCUUGUAGCUUCAGAAUAGCUAUAUUUCUUGCUGCUAAAAGAUCUCCUGCAAGUUAACACUUCAGGCACUCAGCAUACUGCUAGUACUAUAAAAAUUGCUCAUGAUUAUCAUCUAGUAAUGUAUGUGGUUUUAUGGCCUGGUAAUAAAAAUCUGAUUGCUGUUUUCAAGUGUUAAGUUUGUUUAUUGCUCAUUCUUAGGUACUAUGAAGAGGAAGUAUUUAGUGGUGUCCAAUAUAUUGUACAGAAGUUUUAAGCCCUUCAUGGAAACACUGUCGGAACUGGAAGAAUGCUUGGUCCAUAAAAGUGGAUGUUCCUGAAAGCUAUUAUGGUAUAUCAACAAGCAGUUUUAAGGAUGUGAAAGCCAAGUGUGCUGAUGACAGAUUUCCUGGCAACUCUAGUGCAACAGAUGGAGUGGAGUCUGAAGGCUGCUUCUGCCUUAAAGGGAAAUAGUGAAAAAUGUAGGAACAAAUACUUCUAGUUGUUCAGUGAAGAGUUGGAACAUUUUGUCAGACCUGUCAAGUGGAUGGUCUGUACCUGGAAGGAAGUAUAACACCUGAAGAGUUUGUCGCUUGAAAUGGGACACCAUGUUUCUAAAAUCUCCUGCUGAAACAGUUGAUGUCGUACUAUUUAGCAGAUACUUUUUGCAGAAAUUUCGUGAGAACCAAAAUCACUGUCUCGACAUAUUUAAAACAGCACCUUUCCCAAAACUUCAAAGGGAGGAUGAUGGCAAUAUUAGGAAAACAAGCAGUGACUUCAAUGCGUGGUGGGGGAAAAAACCGUGAGAGUAUUUGCUCUUUUGAAAUAACUG